rnacentral:lncRNA from 1 species
GACUGAGGUGGCGCCUGGAGCAGCAACUACUGCUCCAACUUGUGGAUAAGCACUAGAGCAGGAGAGCUACAAAUUCAGCUGGAUCUCUGCUGAGCAGGGUCCUGGCUCCUCAGUGGAUAAAGGAAGGUGGAGCAGAGUGAAGAUUGUCUAUGCCAGUUCAGAUUCCGACCCCACACAUUGUUGAAAUGAGCCAACGUCAAGCCAGAGCUUGCACAAGGAAACAAGCAGUUGCAGGAGAAACCUCAGGAGACGGCUGGCUCUGCACAAGCAAGCUAAGCUGUGCUUUACAGUUAUGGCAUUAAAGUCCAAACCUCACAGAAGUGAAUGAGCAUCUGAGGAAAGCUAAUCAGAACUCCAGGUAAAGGACCUUAAAUCUGCACUGCACAGACAUUGACCCAGACUUUUCUCUGAAGAUUUACUAAGUCUUGAAUGUCCACAAUGUAUAGCAGAGUAAAAUUCAUUAUACAGUGGUAAAGGUAAUCAGUAGAGCAUCUGGUUAAAUUGUUCCAGGCAGAAGAGUGAAGGUAAAAUACAGAGAAGCAU